AUCCACCUGACGAGUCCCAGAUGAGACGAAACGUAUGUCUUGGAU
rnacentral:hammerhead_ribozyme from 1 species